rnacentral:rRNA from 1 species
GAGUUUGAUCAUGGCUCAGAUUGAACGCUGGCGGUAACUUUUAAACAUGCAAGUCGAGCGGUAACAGACAUAAAGAUUCAGCUUGCUGAAUCCGGUGCUGACGAGCGGCGAACGGGUGAGUAACGCGUAGGAAUCUACCCAGUAGCGGGGGAUAGCCCGGGGAAACCCGGAUUAAUACCGCAUACACCCUAAGGGGGAAAGGGGGCAGCUUGCUGCUUUCACUAUUGGAUGAGCCUGCGUAAGAUUAGCUUGUUGGUGGGGUAAAGGCCUACCAAGGCGACGAUCUUUAGCUGGUCUGAGAGGACGAUCAGCCACAUUGGGACUGAGACACGGCCCAGACAUCUACGGAUGGCAGCAGUUAAGAAUAUUGGACAAUGGGGGCAACCCUGAUCCAGGUAUACCGCGUGUGUGAAGAAGGCCCUAGGGUUGUAAAGCACUUUAAUCAGAGAAGAAGCAUUUUAAGUUAAUACCUUAAUAUGUUGACAUUACCAUCAGAAUAAGGACCGGCUAAUUCCGUGCCAGCAGCCGCGGUAAUACGGAAGGUCCAAGCGUUAAUCGGAAUUACUGGGCGUAAAGCGCGCGUAGGUGGUUUAUCAAGUUGGAUGUGAAAUCCCCGGGCUCAACCUGGGAACUGCAUCCAAAACUGAUUCACUAGAGUACGAUAGAGGGAGGUAGAAUUCACAGUGUAGCGGUGGAAUGCGUAGAUAUUGUGAAGAAUACCAAUGGCGAAGGCAGCCUCCUGGAUCUGUACUGACACUGAGGUGCGAAAGCGUGGGUAGCGAACAGGAUUAGAUACCCUGGUAGUCCACGCCGUAAACGAUGUCAACUAGCUGUUGGAGAACUAUGUUCUUCAGUGGCGCAGCUAACGUAGUAAGUUGACCGCCUGGGGGAGUACGGCCGCAAGGCUAAAACUCAAAUGAAUUGACGGGGACCCGCACAAGCGGUGGAGCAUGUGGUUUAAUUCGAUGCAACGCGAAAAACCUUACCUAUACUUGACAUACUUGGAAUGCUUUGUAAUGAAGCAGUGCCUUCGGGAGCUGAGAUACAGGUGCUGCAUGGCUGUCGUCAGCUCGUGUCGUGAGAUGUUCCGUUAAGUCGGAUAACGAGCGCAACCCUUACCCUUAUUUACCAGCGAUUCGGUCGGGAACUAUAAGGGGGCUGCCGGUGAUAAACCGGAGGAAGGUGAGGACGACGUCAAGUCAUCAUGGCCCUUACGUAUAGGGCUACACACGUGCUACAAUGGAGAAUACAGACGGACGCUAAGCCGCGAGGUGGUGCCAAUCCUAGAAAAUUCUUCGUAGUCCGGAUUGGAGUCUGCAACUCGACUCCAUGAAGUCGGAAUCGCUAGUAAUCGCGAAUCAGCAUGUCGCGGUGAAUACGUUCUCGGGUCUUGUACACACCGCCCGUCAUACCAUGGAAGUGGAUUGCACCAGAAGUAGAUAGUCUAACCUUCGGGAGGGCGUUUACCACGGUGUGCUUCAUGACUGGGGUAAAGUCGUAACAAGGUAACC